UUUUAGCCCGGAUAGCAGCGGCAUCCUUCCUGUGGCGUCUUCAGCCAGAGGAAGAUAUAGCGAAUAGCCGGAAAAUGC
rnacentral:sRNA from 1 species